UUAGAUAGAAAUAAAAUGACACGUCUCAACAUCAAAGACAAAACAGUCCUUCAAACGGGGCAGGAAUCCCUUCCAAACAGGCCUGCCGCAUUCCAUCUGCGCGGGGAAAGUUUGCUCGUUCUUCCCUUUCUCGAUCCUCGUUACUGCAGUUCAAUUCGCCCAGACGUCAAAAUGCAGGCCAGCGACAGGUUUAACAUCAAUUCCCAGCUUGAGCACCUUCAAGCUAAAUAUGUCGGUACUGGGCAUGCAGAUUUGAAUAGAUUUGAAUGGGCAGUGAACAUUCAACGAGAUAGCUAUGCAUCAUACGUUGGUCAUUACCCCAUACUAGCGUACUUCGCUAUUGCAGAAAAUGAAUCAAUUGGGAGAGAGCACUACAACUUCAUGCAGUAAUAAAAAAUUUUAUCGAAAGAAGUUGAAGGCGUAGCCAAAGCACAAAGAACGGACACAGGAAAAAUGCUUUUGCCUUGUGGUCUCCCCCCUGAAAGAGAAGACGAUUGAGAGCUGCCAUUUAAACCAAAAUCUGAAACACGUCAAACUCUGGGUCCGGCAGGCUGAAUGUCCCCAUAUGUGUAAUGCAUACUUAUUGCGUAAAGGAACUAUUAUCGUUUGUAAGACCAAUGAAUCGAGUACUCAUCUAACUUUGUGUUUGUGGGCGUGUAAAACAUCAGUCAUUAUUGUCAGGCUUGGAUUUUUAGUCUUGAUCUGGUAAUGGCUUUUAUCUGA